rnacentral:lncRNA from 1 species
UUCAUUCAUUUCGAAUACAUUUAAAGAUGCAUUCAGAAAGCCGCCCUCAUGCUUGUGAAGUUUGUGACAAAACAUUCAUUCAGAAAUGUCACCUUCAAGCUCAUAUGUACUCGCAUAUUCAGAUUAAGUUGUUUCCGUGUUCGUUUUGCCAUUCAAAAUUUGCAAGUAGGUAUUUUCUUAAACUUCAUGAAAGAACACACAAGCCAUAUAAAUGCUUAAUUUGCGGAAAUUGCUAUAUAGACCAUCGAAAUUUUUUCAAACACAUGAUACAACAUCUAGAAACCAAACCGUAUGGUUGCCGUAUCUGUGGGAAGACAUUUGGCAUGCGCCAACAUUUACGACUUCACAUGCAGUUUCACAAAAGUAGUAAAACAACCUGUAACAUAUGUCUGAAAACGUUUGACAGUUUUAUUAACUAUGACAGGCAUCUAUCAG